rnacentral:rRNA from 1 species
AGUGAACGCUGGCGGCAGGCCUAACACAUGCAAGUCGAACGGCAGCACAGCAGUAGCAAUACUGUGGGUGGCGAGUGGCGGACGGGUGAGGAAUACAUGGGAAUCUACCCUGUCGUGGGGGAUAACGUAGGGAAACUUACGCUAAUACCGCAUACGACCGAGAGGUGAAAGCGGCGGGCCGCAAGGCGUCGCGCGAUUGGAUGAGCCCAUGUCGGAUUAGCUAGUUGGCGGGGUAAAGGCCCACCAAGGCGACGAUCCGUAGCUGGUCUGAGAGAAUGAUCAGCCACACUGGAACUGAGACACGGUCCAGACUCCUACGGGAGGCAGCAGUGGGGAAUAUUGGACAAUGGGCGCAAGGCUGAUCCAGCCAUGCCGCGUGAGUGAAGAAGGCCUUCGGGUUGUAAAGCUCUUUUGUCCGGAAAGAAAAGCUCUCGGUUAAUACCCGGGGGUGAUGACGGUACCGGAAGAAUAAGCACCGGCUAACUUCGUGCCAGCCGCCGCCGUAAUAC